rnacentral:lncRNA from 12 species
AUCAGCCUGUUAGGAAAACUGGAGAAAAAUGGUACUUAUUACUCACUUAAGAAACAUCUGUCCAUUUCUGAAUUACAGUGUAUAUGUUUUUUUUAGUGACAAUGUUUUAUAUUACACUUAGACCUCGCCCAGAAAACUGGAGAUGUCACGCGAGGAAAGGGAGGCUGACGCCUGGCACGAAAGGGGCCAGGUGGCCUAUUGGUCCAGGAAAGCGUGAGUCCGUUCGUUACCUAGCGGGAUUUACUUUAUCUUAUUAAAAACAUGUUUGCUAAGCACACAGAUUGGAAGGAAGAAUCUUGGGAUUGUUUACUUUGGUUUGCGUUUGGAACAAAUGAGUCAAUUUGUGAUGUUAAUGCAGCUUGGGUGUCCUUCCCUCCCAUUGCGGAGUCACUGUCAGGGGAAGACUGUGGUAACUAAGGAAAACCAGGCCAGGAUGGCUGCAGGAGGCCCUUGCCCGCAGCCAGGAGAGCCACUCGGCUCCUUGGAGCUCCCUCCCCUGCAGAAGCACAGAGAAGAGGGACACAGGUGACAACUCUGGGCCUAAUGGCCCUCUCUCUUUUUAUUUCUCAGCUGGGGGCUGAAUGUUCUCAGAUACGGACACUUGUCCCUCUCAGCUCUGAGUAUAGAGAUGGUUUCUCCCGCCCUCACUCAGUUAUCUUUAUCUCUUACUCUUUGUUCCAGAAAGAAAAGAAAAAUAAAACCCUCGGCUGAUUUCCUCAAGAUGUCUCUUACUUUUGGAAAACUACGCAAAUGCAGCUUGAGUGCUGUGUGGAGUGGUCCAGCCUGUCCCACGCCCGCCCGGCGUCUGGAGGGGCUGCCGAGGGUACGUGCAGCCUGGGCAUCGGGGAGGUACGAAGAUGGUUCAGGCUGGACUUGGGUUCUCUGACGGUGUGCGGACUGGUUUAAUUGCUUCACUCUGCAAUUAAUUAUCCAGCUCACUGCCUGGGGUAAGUAUCCCCAUUCAGCCUCUGCUACUUGCAAUGUUGAUAUUAUUCUGGGUUCUGUCUGGGACACUCUGGGACCUGUUUGAGAGACUUUAUUUUUUUCCUGACGCCUGAAUAUCACUUCAGGUUCCCUAGAUCUCUGGGCAUUUUUAUCAAUCCUUUCCCAUCCAUUUAGUCUAGAAAGUCUUCCUUAUUCAGUUUUGCUAGAGCCACUUCUGAUUUUCUGAAUUCAUGACAAAUUCACUUUUGUUGGUAUAUCUGGUUGCUAUGUCAGUAAGAUUUUGUGAGGGGGGCACCUAGAGGAUCUGCUCUGGAUGCUGUUGAGAUCACAUUCAAGACCUUUUUCAUCUAGCUGCCCAAGGUUGGCUUCUUCACUGGGAGAGCCUUCAUCCAAUGACUCAUUGACUCAACUUUCAACCUUUUCACCCAACUUGCUAUGACUCUGAAGGACCCCCCAGGUUCAGAGCUUCCUGGAGUUGGCAGGGCUUUCAUCGAUGAUUCAUCCAGCUCAGCUUCUCCCUCGGUUGAUUUUUUUGUUUUCUUCUCUUCUUGUCCUUGGGAGUUGACCCCAAGAACGCCCCCUAAUAAACCUUCCCUAUGCUAAUCUCCA